rnacentral:sRNA from 1 species
ACCUAGGCCUAUAACGCCAUAGGCUAGGUUCCAUAAAGUAAUAUAUAUUGCUGUGUGUAGUCUUUGCCUGUCAGCCCAUGAUAGGCUUUUUUUUUG